GUGCCAGCAGCCGCGGUAAUACGUAGGGACCAAGCGUUGUUCGGAUUUACUGGGCGUAAAGGGCGCGUAGGCGGCAGAUCAAGUCAGCUGUGAAAUCUCCGGGCUUAACUCGGAACGGUCAGCUGAUACUGUUUUGCUAGAGUGCAGAAGGGGCAAUCGGAAUUCUUGGUGUAGCGGUGAAAUGCGUAGAUAUCAAGAGGAACACCUGAGGUGAAGACGGGUUGCUGGGCUGACACUGACGCUGAGUGCGCGAAAGCCAGGGGAGCAAACGGGAUUAGAUACCCCGGUAGUCC
rnacentral:rRNA from 1 species